ensembl:lncRNA
CCUACGUACAGGAAUAUAAACACUGCUGCUGAGACCCCGCAAUUCCCUCAAAAUGCAAUGCAAGUGAUAUAGAAUACCAAUGCUCACUUCGGAAUCAGGCCCUAUGUCCAAAAUUCCGAACUACCCCUUUAAGAUACUUCGUGACACGGGGGGUUCUCAAUCCUUUAUCUUGUCUGAUAUAUUGCCGUUGAACGAUGUAUCUGCCUGUAACUCGAGUGCUAUUGUGAGGGGUAUCGAAAUGGGAUUUGUGCCCGCGCCUUUGCAUAAGGUGCAUGUAAAAUCAGGUCUAGUGACUGGUUUCUUCUCUGUGGCUGUUCGUCCAAGUUUCCCUGUUGACGGCGUUGAUUUCAUUAUGGGGAAUGAUAUUGCUGGUGGCAGAGUGUACCCAGUCCUAGAGGUUGUCAACACACCUGUGCCUGUAUCUGUCUCUGAGGAAUUGGUUAAAAGUCACCCAGAUGUUUUUCCUGUGUGUGCUGUGACCAGGGCUCAGGGUUUGAAGAAGAAGGACCUGGAGCUGGGUGACUCUGUGUUUGGUGAGGCCUUAGCGGAGGAUGUGUGGCCAUCUAGUGGCGAGGGGUGUGAUUCCACCAAAAAGUGUGUUCAGCGGAAGCUCUUAAUUCCCAAGUUUGCUGACGUGCCGCUCCCAUUGACACGUCAGGCCCUGAUUGCUGCUCAGCAGAGUGAUUCCUCGUUAGCUAGUUGUUUUGCUGCUGUGAGCAGUGAUGCUAGUGUGUCUGGUAGACAACAGUCCUUCUUGAUGGAGGAAGGAGUGUUAAUGCGCACCUGCGUUGCAAGGCCAGGUAGUGGGAAAUUGAAAACCAGUGAGGAUUGGAACACAGUCCACCAGAUUGUGUUACCGUAGGCGUCAUGCGUUGGAGUUAGCGCAUGAGCAUUUGUGGUCUGGUCAUCUGGGGAUUGCGAAGACGUAUGACUUUUGUAUGUGACAACAACCAUGCUGUCAACAUCAGUAGAAAUAUUGGGUUGAAAAAUAUGUGUUAAAUAGAGCUGAGAUAAAGGAGAUCUCAGAAAAAUGGGGGACGGAAUAGCUAAUCAGGCACAAUAUGGCCAAAAGAGGGAACGUUCGAUUCAGUAAUGUGUGGGGAGAUGGAAGUAAUGAUAAACUACAAGCAUAAGAAAAAAGGAAAGAAGGCCCUAGUGAAAAGGGAAAGAGAUAGUAUAGUAUUGCCAUUGUUCAGAAAAGAUGGAGAGCUAUGGAGGCAGAGAGAAAAGACAGCAAGGGAAAUGGUUAGUGGGGUUGGUAAAGAGGUAGAAUCACCACAUUGCAAGGCACAUCCACCACCCUACAACACAGGUUUAUCAGAAGAAGGAAACAGCAGGGAUCCUGAACCACUGAGAGGGACAACAGCAUCCGGUCACAUGGAUUGGUAAGUAGUCACUGAGCCAGCGGUCCAGCGGGGACCACCUUCCACUCCGAUAUAGCCCCAGCCUGACAUUAGGUGCGUUUCCAUCCCCCUGAUUUUAUGCAAACUUUAAAGUAUCGAAUCAGUAAACGGUGAUGGAAACACCAAAAUUUGCAUUAAAAUCCUCUAAUUCGCAAAAAGGUUUAUCCGCUCGCUUGAGGAGGUUUUUUGAGAAAUGUGAAAGAGAGUAAAUUCGCAAAAUGGGAGACGGAAACACACUUUUCGAAGCAGCUGUGACGUAGUGAUUUUUGAACACACAGGACUGACAGUCUUUCCGAUUUCCGCAUAACGACCGGCCAUAGAAACCCUGCCGACAUCAACGUGUAACGUCAUCAUCCUAUUGUGCUCUCCCAUACGUAAGGCACUCAACGUCCUCCUCGUAUUUCCCUUGCUACCGCUUUGUACAUUGUGAUUUCUCUAUUUCUUCGUCUACGGAUGGAAGUUAAAAUAGCCAAUGAUAACUUCAAUGAAAGAACAGUUAUGACUUGCCCAAGGGAAAUCAAUUGCUGCUGAAUUCCUCUCCUCAUGUUUGUUGUUUGUUGUUACUCUUCUCUAUUGGCGGACUGACCAUUCCGACAAUUUCUGUAUCCAUUGUCAGAGUUGAGGUACUUUACUUUUUUUUUCAAAUGUCCCGCCAUUCCGUCAUGAGGUCAUUAAUAUAAAUGUCAUUACUAUUAUCAUUGUACUUAAAUUAAUUAAUGUGACUAUUUCUUAGUUUCAUGCGCUUUAGUGUCCUACACUGACAUUCACCAUUGGGGAUAGUCGACCCUCAUUCGCUGUGGAUCUUUGGCACAAGUCAUAGGCCCUUCACCAGUCUCAAAAUCCCCACUGACCCAAAUCACGCUUGGACGUUUCGAUUCUGUUUCUAAAUGUUGGGACUGAUGGACACUGAACUCUGGGGGUUAUUUGAACAUUCAUUGUGAAGUGGUUUACUGUAAAAGGAGCGUCGGAAAUCCCACCUGUCUUUGCGCACAGAGGCCAUUAAUUAAAGGAAUGCUGAAAGAAUGCUGGAAGUCGAGAAAAAGAAGACUAAAUAUCUAUCCGACAUUCUGAUGAAUGUCGGAUAUCCAGUACAACUACUAUAAGAACACGUAAGGCAGAGCGAGACGACAAAGAAGGAGGAAAGGAAGAAGAACCCAAGUGGCCGGCUCCCUCCAGCAGAACAUUUUUCUUCUUCAUAUAAGACUAAGGUAACAAAACCAUCUAGCAGCACUUCCUGUUUAUUUGGACACAUAAACAGGCUCUGACCCUACAACCAUCACAACCACCAUGUUGACCGAUAAACACGAAGCGGCAGCUAACCCUGGGCAACCGAAGGGGGACCCUUUGUGUCGACGUCUGUCCAGUCGUGCCCUCAUCUUCCUUCUCCUCACACUCUCUGGUCUCAGCUUCCUGUUGCGCAACAUUCUCACUCUGGAGCCCCAGAACAGCAGCCGCCACCCUGCCUUAGCCCAGAAGGGGCCCCUCCCUCCGUACAACAACCACACCAUCUGCAGCCACCUGGAGCCCACCCCCGAGGAAGCCCUGGAGGACCGCGCCCUCCUCGAUGCCAUCGCCUGGCCCAAGCCCCCGCCCCACGUCCCUCAACCAGACCAGCGACCCCGUCCACAGCCUGUUCGCCAUUCUGCCCUCCAAGGACGGGAGGGAGCGUUGACGUGUGGGGGACCAGCUUGAGGCCCUGGUCCAGAUGCUGGACUUCCAGGGCCGUCCCAAGCACUACGGGGGG